rnacentral:lncRNA from 1 species
UUCUUGCUUACCUGCCAGAUAAUCCUCAUAGUCUGUCUUGAAGAGAAUUCAAAACAUUCCAUUAUGCAAAGAACAAUCAGCAGCUUCAUUGAAUUCUUCAGUGGUAAUGAAUAAGUUCCUUUCUACCACUUACUGAAGAAUAAUUGUAUCACCUUAUACUUCUCCUCCCGUUACCUUGAUCAGGUUCCCCUUAGUGAUAAGUAGCUAUCUUCAUUAGAUGAAAGAUCAUCCUCCUCCUUAGUUGAAAGAUGAAUCUCCCC